AAAAUAAUCCUACCCUUUGUGAAUUUUGUUUGUUUGAAUAAUUUUUUUUUAAAAAAUUAUUGGAGUCUUUCCCUUUAAGUUUGCUUUUGAGUUUGUAAAAGAAUUCGAAAACAUCUAAAGGGGAUGGUCAAUAAUUUUUUUGAAAAAAGACAUUUUUUAAAAUUAAACUUUUUGUAUUCAUUUGUCUAAAAAUUAUUUUUAUAAUAUAAAAACAACUUUGACAAUGGAUCUCUUGGUUCUCGCAACGAUGAAGAACGCAGCAAAUGCGAUAAGUAGUGUGAAUUGCAGAAUACGUGAAUCAUCGAAUCUUUGAACGCAUAUUGCACUUUUUAGUUUACUAAAAAGUAUGUCUGUUUGAGUAUCAGUAAAAUAUUCUCAUAAAAAUCAUUGUGUAUUUUAUGGUUAUGAGUGUUUACAACGAUACAAGUUGUUUCACUUUAAAUUUUUUUUUAGUAUUGAAAUUUUUCUAAUUUUAAUAAUUAAAAUUGGAUAAAAUUUUCCCGUCAAAAGGAAUAACCUAAACAAUUUUAAAUGAUUAAUUUAGCAAAAUUUUCGAAAAAAGGAAAAUUUUUAUUAAAUAACUUGAUCUCAAAUCAGAUAAGAGUACCCGCUGAACUUAAGCAUAUCAAUAAGCGGAGGAAAAGAAACUAACAAGGAUUCCUUAGUAACGGCGAGUGAAGCGGGAAGAGCUCAAAUUUGAAAUCUUCAAGGUUUUACCUUGACGAAUUGUAGUUAAAGAAGUGUUUUCUGCUGAAGUUUUGGUAAAAGUUCUUUGGAAUAGGACAUCAUAGAGGGUGAGAAUCCCGUAUUUGACCAUUAUUUUCAGCUUUGUGAUACACUUUCAAAGAGUCGGAUUGUUUGGGAAUGCAGUCCAAAAUGGGUGGUAAAUUUCAUCUAAAGCUAAAUAUUGGCGAGAGACCGAUAGCGAACAAGUACCGUGAGGGAAGAUGAAAAGAACUUUGAAAAGAGAGUUAAACAGUACGUGAAAUUGUCAAAAGGGAAGCGUUUGUCACCAGUGUUGUUUUCUCGAAAAUCAAUUAAAAAUGGCUCGAUUUUGUAUUGCUGAGACCUUAAAAGCCCACUGUACAUUUUUCGUGUCUUUUUUAAUGCACUUUUCGUUUAACAAGUCAACAUCAGUUUCUUUUGUUGUAAAAGGGUCAUUGGAAGGUGGCUUCUUUUCGGAGAAAGUGUUUAUAGCCUUUGGCCUCUGCAAUCGAGAGACUGAGGUCUGCAGCGUAGACUCUUCGGGGUUAGAUACAUUUGUGCUAAGUUAUAGCUUUUUAUAGACAACUUGUUGACUAUAAUUAGUCUUGUAGCUUACUCGCUUAUGCUAUUU
rnacentral:misc_RNA from 1 species